AGGAUUAACGCUGGCGGCGUGCCUAACACAUGCAAGUCGAACGAGGUAGCAAUACCUAGUGGCAGACGGGUGAGUAACGCGUGGUCAACCUACCGUUGAGUGGGGGAUAACUAGCCGAAAGGUUAGCUAAUACCGCAUACGUCUCCGAGGGGCAUCCCUUGGCGAUAAAAGGAGCAAUCCGCUCGAUGACGGGACCGCGUCCCAUUAGCUAGAUGGUGGGGUAACGGCCUACCAUGGCACCGAUGGGUAGCUGGUUUGAGAGAGCGACCAGCCACACUGGGACUGAGAAACGGCCCAGACUCCUACGGGAGGCAGCAGUGAGGAAUUUUCCGCAAUGGGCGCAAGCCUGACGGAGCGACGCCGCGUGUGGGAAGAAGGCCUUCGGGUCGUAACCACUGUCGAAGGGGACGAUAAUGACGGUACCCUUGGAGGAAGCCCCGGCUAACUACGUGCCAGCAGCCGC
rnacentral:rRNA from 1 species